AUGCUACUGAGCUAAUGAUGG
rnacentral:siRNA from 1 species